rnacentral:rRNA from 1 species
CGGGACGGGUGAGUAAUGUCUGGGAAACUGCCUGAUGGAGGGGGGUAACUACUGGAAACGGUAGCUAAUACCGCAUAACGUCGCAAGACCAAAGAGGGGGACCUUCGGGCCUCUUGCCAUCGGAUGUGCCCAGAUAGGAUUAGCUAGUAGGUGGGGUAACGGCUCACCUAGGCGACGAUCCCUAGCUGGUCUGAGAGGAUGACCAGCCACACUGGAACUGAGACACGGUCCAG